rnacentral:rRNA from 1 species
AUUGAACGCUGGCGGCAUGCCUUACACAUGCAAGUCGAACGGUAACGGGCCUUCGGGUGCCGACGAGUGGCGAACGGGUGAGUAAUGCAUCGGAACGUGCCCGAUCGUGGGGGAUAACGAGGCGAAAGCUUUGCUAAUACCGCAUACGAUCUACGGAUGAAAGCAGGGGACCGCAAGGCCUUGCGCGGACGGAGCGGCCGCUGGCAGAUUAGGUAGUUGGUGGGAUAAAAGCUUACCAAGCCGACGAUCUGUAGCUGGUCUGAGAGGAUGAUCAGCCACACUGGGACUGAGACACGGCCCAGACUCCUACGGGAGGCAGCAGUGGGGAAUUUUGGACAAUGGGCGCAAGCCUGAUCCAGCCAUGCCGCGUGCAGGAUGAAGGCCCUCGGGUUGUAAACUGCUUUUGUACGGAACGAAAAGCCUUCUUUUAAUACAGGAGGGUCAUGACGGUACCGUAAGAAUAAGCACCGGCUAACUACGUG